rnacentral:tRNA from 1 species
GGUAAAGUGGCCGAGUGCUAGGCAGUAGGCUGUAGUCCUACUUACAUUGGUUNGAUUCCUUUCUUUAUC